rnacentral:rRNA from 1 species
UACGGAGGGUGCAAGCGUUAUCCGGAUUCACUGGGUUUAAAGGGUGCGUAGGUGGGCAGGUAAGUCAGUGGUGAAAUCUCCGAGCUUAACUCGGAAACUGCCAUUGAUACUAUCUGUCUUGAAUUAUCUGGAGGUGAGCGGAAUAUGUCAUGUAGCGGUGAAAUGCUUAGAUAUGACAUAGAACACCAAUUGCGAAGGCAGCUCACUACACGAAUAUUGACACUGAGGCACGAAAGCGUGGGGAUCAAACAGG